rnacentral:lncRNA from 1 species
ACUGGCGCACGCCAUGCACAUCCCAGUCAGUCAAGAACUUUAUCGAGGUCCUGAGGAGUUUUAAGCCGUUGGAGAUCCCACGCGGGGAGCUCCUCCGGCGGAAACCGUAUAGGCGACGCCCAAGUCCGGACGGGAACGUGGUGACGCUCCGCCAGUUCUUGGGCCCUCUGGACGGCCUUGAGUUGGAGUUUGAGGUCCGGGCUUUUGAGGACUUCUUUCCAUUCGGGCUCACUGGAGAGAGGGCCCUUUGGUAACGCGGUACAUUGCCAUAGCAUGUGCAAGAGUGAGCAAUAAUGUUCUGGGCAGUCUGGGCAAUUUGCCGGGAUGUCGGAGUUGUAGUGACUUAGUAGGCCUCGUGAUGGAUACGAGUCCGUUUGUAGCAUUCGAAACGCGGCCACCUGCGCGCGUUCGAGUUUGGCGUGCAGGAGUGGGUAUUUUAUUCUGCCUUUCCGAUAGUGUGAGGUGAUUUCUUGGUAAGUGAGUAGCGGGUCAUUAAACUGAAUGUCCAGCCCCUCGGAACCCGUGGGACCGUCGCGGCGGGCAAGUUCGCGCGCACG